rnacentral:lncRNA from 1 species
GGUAAAAAGUCAUCCCCAUCUAAAUAAUCCCCAACAGUUUCGAGGGAGGACAACACAGGUAAGCAAAUAAUUCAAAAAAAAAAAAGCGAAGGUUUCAUUAAUAGGAGACGCACUUCCUAGUUUGAAAUCAUUAGAGUUCUACCCAUAGGAGAUGCAUUUCCUCCUAAGUUCAUUUUUACCCAUAGGAGACGCAUUUCCUCCUAAGUUUAUGUUUUACCCAUAGGAGAUGCAUUUCCUCCUAAGUGGUUGUUAAAGAUAUAAAAAAAAAAAAACAAGACCUAGUCUGAUGAACCUUCUCCUAGGAUCAAAAUCUUAGUCUGACGAAUUUCUUCUCCUAAGAUAGAGACCUAGUCUGACGAACCUUCUCCUAGGAUCAAAAUCUUAGCCUGAUGAACCUUCUCCUAAGAUACCAAAAAGAAAAGACCUAGUCUGAUGAACCUUCUCCUAGGAUCAAAAUCUUAGUCUGACGAAUUUUUCUCCUAAGAUAGAGACCUAGUCUGAUGAACCUUCUUCUAGGAUCAAAAUCUUAGUCUGAUGAAUCUUUCUCCUAAGAUAACCAAAAAACGAAAAUGACCUAGUCUGAUGAACCUUCUCCUAGGAUCAAAAUCUUAGUCUGACGAAUUUUUCUCCUAAGAUAGAGACCUAGUCUGACGAACCUUCUCCUAGGAUCAAAAUCUUAGUCUGAUGAAUUUUUCUCCUAAGAUAGAGACCUAGUCUGACGAACCUUCUCCUGGGAUCAAAAUCUUAGUCUGAUGAAUCUUUCUCCUAAGAUACCAAAAAAACAAGACCUAGUCUGAUGAACCUUCUCCUAGGAUCAAAAUCUUAGUCUGAUGAAUUUUUUUCCUAAGAUAGAGACCUAGUCUGACGAACCUUCUCCUAGGAUCAAAAUCUUAGUCUGAUGAAUCUUUCUCCUACGAUACCAAAAAAAACAGACCUAGUCUGAUGAACCUUCUCCUAGGAUCCAAAUCUUAGUCUGGUGAAUUUUUCUCCUAAGAUAGAGACCUAGUCUGACGAACCUUCUCCUAGGAUCAAAAUCUUAGUCUGAUGAAUCUUUCUCCUAAGAUAACCAAAAAGAAAAGACCUAGUCUGAUGAACCUUCUCCUAGGAUCAAAAUCUUAGUCUGACGAAUUUUUCUCCUAAGAUAGAGAACUAGUCUGAUGAACCUUCUCCUAGGAUCAAAAUCUUAGUCGGACGAAUUUUUCUCCUAAGAUAACAAAAAGAAAAGACCUAGUC